UACGGGAGGCAGCAGUGGGGAAUAUUGCACAAUGGGCGCAAGCCUGAUGCAGCCAUGCCGCGUGUAUGAAAAAGGCCUUCGGGUUGUAAAGUACUUUCAGUCGUGAGGAAGGUGUUAAGGUUAAUAACCUUAGCAAUUGACGUUAGCGACAGAAGAAGCACCGGCUAACUCCGUGCCAGCAGCCGCGGUAAUACGGAGGGUGCGAGCGUUAAUCGGAAUUACUGGGCGUAAAGGGCACGCAGGCGGUUAAUUAAGUUGGAUGUGAAAUCCCCGGGCUUAACCUGGGAAUGGCAUUCAAGACUGGUUAGCUAGAGUCUUGUAGAGGGGGUAGAAUUCCAUGUGUAGCGGUGAAAUGCGUAGAGAUGUGGAGGAAUACCGGGUGGCGAAGGCGGCCCCUGGACAAAGACUGACGCUCAUGUGCGAAAGCGUGGGGAGCAAACAGGGAUUAGAUACC
rnacentral:rRNA from 1 species